UGGGGAAUAUUGGACAAUGGGCGAAAGCCUGAUCCAGCCAUGCCGCGUGUGUGAAGAAGGUCUUCGGAUUGUAAAGCACUUUAAGUUGGGAGGAAGGGCAGUUACCUAAUACGUGAUUGUUUUGACGUUACCGACAGAAUAAGCACCGGCUAACUCUGUGCCAGCAGCCGCGGUAAUACAGAGGGUGCAAGCGUUAAUCGGAAUUACUGGGCGUAAAGCGCGCGUAGGUGGUUAGUUAAGUUGGAUGUGAAAUCCCCGGGCUCAACCUGGGAACUGCAUUCAAAACUGACAAGCUAGAGUAUGGUAGAGGGUGGUGGAAUUUCCUGUGUAGCGGUGAAAUGCGUAGAUAUAGGAAGGAACACCAGUGGCGAAGGCGACCACCUGGACUGAUACUGACACUGAGGUGCGAAAGCGUGGGGAGCAAACAGGAUUAGAUACCCGAGUAGUCCCUGAGCGGGCUGGCAAGGCGCAU
rnacentral:rRNA from 1 species